rnacentral:rRNA from 1 species
GACGAACGCUGGCGGCGUGCCUAAUACAUGCAAGUAGAACGCUGAAGGAGGAGCUUGCUUCUAUGGAUGAGUUGCGAACGGGUGAGUAACGAGUAGGAAACCUGCCUGUUAGCGGGGGAUAACUAUUGGAAACGAUAGCUAAUAUCGCAUAAGAGUAGAUGUCGCAUGACAUUUGCUUAAAAGGUGCAAUUGCUUAACUACCAUAUGGACCUGGGUUGUAUUAGCUUGUUGGUGAGGUAACGGCUCAUCAAGGCAACGAUCCAUACCCUACCUGAGGGGGAGGACACCCACAAUGGUCAUGAGACACCGUCCGUACGACUAGAAGAGGAAGCAGUAGGGAGUCGUCGGCAAUUGGCAGCAGUCUGACCGAGCAACGCCGCGUCAGUGAAGAAUGGUUUCGGAUCGUAAAGCUCUGUUGUAAGAGAAGAGUGAGUGUGAUAGUGGAGAAUUCACACUGUGACGGUACCUUACCAGAAACCGACGGCUAACUACGUG